rnacentral:misc_RNA from 1 species
GCAUCGAUGAAGAACGCAGCGAAAUGCGAUAAGUAAUGUGAAUUGCAGAAUUCAGUGAAUCAUCGAAUCUUUGAACGCACAUUGCGCCCGCCAGUAUUCUGGCGGGCAUGCCUGUUCGAGCGUCAUUUCAACCAUCAAGCCCCCGGCUUGUGUUGGGGACCUGCGGCUGCCGCAGGCCCUGAAAAGCAGUGGCGGGCUCGCUGUCACACCGAGCGUAGUAGCAUACAUCUCGCUCUGGGCGUGCUGCGGGUUCCGGCCGUAAAACCACCUUCAUAACCCAAGGUUGACCUCGGAUCAGGUAGGAAGACCCGCUGAACUUAAGCAUAUCAAUAAGCGGAGGAU